rfam:Spinacia oleracea cultivar SynViroflay scaffold24998.con0001.1, whole genome shotgun sequence.
AGGCAGCCCCCUAGCAAAAAGCAAUUGAUAAGGGAGGUGUUAUUCUACUCGUAGAUGAAUUCUUUGGCUCUUCAGACCUGCUGAGAUUUUGUUAAUGACGCAGUUCUAGUAACGCUAAAGUACAUU